CUUCCGAGUUCCCUGGAACGGGACGCCACAGAGGGUGAGAGCCCCGUAUGGAUGGACACCAAACCUGUGUAAAGCUCCUUCAACGAGUCGAGUAGUUUGGGAAUGCUGCUCAAAAUGGGAGGUAAAUCUCUUCUAAAGCUAAAUACCGGCCAGAGACCGAUAGCGCACAAGUAGAGUGAUCGAAAGAUGAAAAGCACCUUGAAAAGGGGGUUAAACAGUACGUGAAAUUGUUGAAAGGGAAGCAUUUAUGACCAGACUUGCGCCGGGCAGCUCAUCAGGGGUUCUCCCCUGUGCACUCUGCCCGGCUCAGGCCAGCAUCGGUUCUCGUGGGAGGAUAAGAACGGUAGGAAUGUGGCCCCCUCUCGGGGGGGUGUUAUAGCCUGCCGUACGAUACUCCCGUGGGGACCGAGGUUCGCGCUCCGCAAGGAUGCUGGCGUAAUGGUCAUCAAUGACCCGUCUUGAAACACGGACCAAGGAGUCGUCCAUUAGAGCGAGCGUUUGGGUGUAAAACCCGCACGCGUAAUGAAAGUGAACGCAGGUGAGAGCUUCGGCGCAUCAUCGACCGAUCCUGAUGUUCUCGGAUGGAUUUGAGUAAGAGUUUUAACGGACGGACCCGAAAGACAGUGAACUAUGCUUGUAUAGGGUGAAGCCAGAGGAAACUCUGGUGGAGGCUCGCAGCGGUUCUGACGUGCAAAUCGAUCGUCAAAUAUGAGCAUGGGGGC
rnacentral:rRNA from 1 species